rnacentral:tRNA from 1 species
GGUGAGGUGUCCGAGUGGUCGAAGGAGCACGCCUGGAAAGUGUGUAUACCGAAAGGUAUCGAGGGUUCGAAUCCCUCCCUCACCGCCA